rnacentral:rRNA from 1 species
ACGGGAGGCAGCAGUGGGGAAUAUUGCACAAUGGGGGAAACCCUGAUGCAGCGACGCCGCGUGAACGAAGAAGUAUUUCGGUAUGUAAAGUUCUAUCAGCAGGGAAGAAAAUGACGGUACCUGACUAAGAAGCCCCGGCUAACUACGUGCCAGCAGCCGCGGUAAUACGUAGGGGGCAAGCGUUAUCCGGAUUUACUGGGUGUAAAGGGAGCGUGGACGGUAGUGCAAGUCUGAAGUGAAAGCUCGCAGCUUAACUGCGGAACUGCUUUGGAAACUGUACAACUAGAGUACCGGAGGGGUAAGCGGAAUUCCUAGUGUAGCGGUGAAAUGCGUAGAUAUUAGGAGGAACACCAGUGGCGAAGGCGGCUUACUGGACGAUAACUGACGUUGAGGUUCGAAAGCGUGGGGAGCAAACAGGAUUAGAUACCCUGGUA